rnacentral:tRNA from 1 species
GCCGCCGUGGUGGAAUCGGCAGACACAUCAGACUUAAAAUCUGAGAAGGGUUAACCUUGUACGGGUUCAAGUCCCGUCGGCGGCACCA